UACGGAGGGUGCAAGCGUUAAUCGGAAUUACUGGGCGUAAAGCGCGCGUAGGUGGUUUGUUAAGUGUGAUGUGAAAGCCCAGGGCUUAACCUUGGAACUGCAUCACAUACUGGCAGGCUAGAGUACGGUAGAGGGGGGUAGAAUUCCACGUGUAGCGGUGAAAUGCGUAGAGAUGUGGAGGAAUACCGGUGGCGAAGGCGGCCCCCUGGAUCGAUACUGACGCUGAGGUGCGAAAGCGUGGGGAGCAAACAGG
rnacentral:rRNA from 1 species